AAGUCGUAACAAGGUAACCGUAGGUGAACCUGCGGUUGGAUCAUUACAAAAUGAUAUAUUUCUAGGUUUGUAGUCUACUACUUUACGGUAUUGUGAUUCGCCUAGAAAUAUCAACUACCCAAUGUGCACUGUUUCUGUUUUUCGGGUGAUUGAUUUCUGCAGUAGUAGUAUUUAUUUAUUUAUUAUUAUUGCAGUUUAAAAUUGCCCGGCAGUUUAUAAACCCAACUUUAAUUAUUAGUCUGAUUAUUUCUGAAAAUGAAAUGAAAACAACUUUUGACAACGGAUCUCUUGGCUCUC
rnacentral:misc_RNA from 1 species